UGAAGGAUGAAGUUCUAUGGAUUGUAAACUUCUUUUAUUUGGGAAUAAACCUUCGUACGUGUACGAGCUUGNAGGUACCAAAUGAAUAAGCACCGGCUAACUCCGUGCCAGCAGCCGCGGUAAUACGGAGGGUGCAAGCGUUAUCCGGAAUCAUUGGGUUUAAAGGGUCCGCAGGCGGAAGAAUAAGUCAGUGGUGAAAUCUUAUAGCUUAACUAUGAAACUGCCAUUGAUACUGUUUUUCUUGAAUUCGGUCGAAGUGGGCGGAAUAUGACAUGUAGCGGUGAAAUGCGUAGAUAUGUCAUAGAACACCGAUAGCGAAGGCAGCUCACUAGGCCUGGAUUGACGCUCAGGGACGAAAGCGUGGGGAGCAAACAGGAUNAGAUACCCUGGUAGUCCACGCCGUAAACUAUGAUUACUCGAUAUUGGCGAUAUACAGUC
rnacentral:rRNA from 1 species